rnacentral:tRNA from 1 species
GGGUGAUUAGCUCAGCUGGGAGAGCACCUCCCUUACAAGGAGGGGGUCGGCGGGUUCGAUCCCGUCAUCACCCACCA